rnacentral:rRNA from 1 species
UACGUAGGGGGCUAGCGUUGUCCGGAAUCAUUGGGCGUAAAGAGCGUGUAGGCGGUCCGGUAAGUCCGCUGUGAAAGUCGGGGGCUCAACCCUCGAAUGCCGGUGGAUACUGCCGGGCUAGAGUCCGGAAGAGGCGAGUGGAACUCCUGGUGUAGCGGUGGAAUGCGCAGAUAUCAGGAAGAACACCAACGGCGAAGGCAGCUCGCUGGGACGGAACUGACGCUAAGGCGCGAAAGCGUGGGGAGCGAACAGG